rnacentral:rRNA from 1 species
AUGUCUACCUCCAACCAAGUUCCAUCCAUUGGUCUUACCAGCACCACACCCAAGUCCCUCACAAGGACCAACUACAUCCUAUGGAGAGCCCAAGCUCGCUGCCAGAUCAUGGGUGCCGGGCUAUAUGGGUACAUAGAUCAAACUACACCUGAGCCAAACAAAACCAUAGUUACCAAGAACUCAGGAGGAAAGGAGCAAAUCGCUCCUAACCCUACCUAUAACCCAUGGCUGAUUCAAGAUCAGCAGAUUGUAGCCUUUCUCCUUAAUCUCUCGAAGGAGGUUCCCAUCCAAGUUGCCUCACUAGAAACCUCGCACGCCAUAUGGUCAGCCCUAGCGAACAUGUUCGCUUCCCAAUCUUGUUCUCGUGUGAACAACUGCCGCAUCUCUCUCUCUCUCUCCAAUGCACAGAAAGGCUCCCUGAGCGCCUCCGCAUACUUUGGGCUGAUGAGAGCGCUCUCGGAUGAGCUAGCUGCCGCCGGGAGUCCCAUAACGGAAGGAGAUCUUCUUUCUUUCAUCAUUGCACGGCUGGAUUACCAAACCUUGAUCCCGGCGCUGGACGUCCGCCCCCUCUCGGUGGAUGAUAUCUUUGGCAUGGUCGCGAAUUUCGAUCAGCUUAUUGAGAUGUUCCACAGGACAGGAGCAGGUGCUUUCAAAUCCUCGGCUAAUGCUGCAUCUCGAGGCCAUGGCAGCAACAACUCCAACCGUUAUCGUGGCGGCGGUGGCGGCUACGAAAACUACAACAGUGGCGGCGGUGGCGGCAACGAAAACUACAAUAGUGGCGGCGGUGGUGGCGGCGGCCACUACGAGAACGCUGGCGGCGGCGGUGGCAGCGGCCACUACCAGAACACCGGCGGCGGCGAUGGCGGCGGCCACUACCCGAACGGCGGCGGAAACAACAGGGGCGUCCCUUCCAAGGGUAUUAGGAGUAUGAAAAUAAGUGUAAAAUUUGCAAGAAAAAUAACCAUAUCGCCAACGAUUGUGAUUGGCGCUAUGACGAGAACAACUCCAGAAAAAAAAGUUGCAGCUGCCGCAGACACGUCAUACAGAGUUGACACAAACUAG